AGUUUGUCUGGGCGAGAUUGUACCAGGAGGAUAUGAAUCGUCCACACACCAUGGACAGGGUAUCACAAUUGUGGCGAAUCAUGGUGAGAGUCCUGGUGAUUGUGACUUUGUUGUCAGUUCAACUUACCAUUGCACAAGAAUGUACAACGGAAUCCGUCCUAGGCAUGGCAAGUGGAGCUAUCACCGAUCAGCAAAUCACGUGCUCCUCCAGUGAACAGCCCUGUACUAACGUACGGCCCAGCAAGUUUGGGUGGUACCUGUCAAAGAGCGAGGGAAAGGAUUACAUACAGGUUGACCUAAGUGCAGCAAAGAUGGUGACAAAGAUAGGUUUGUAUGCGUCAGGCUCAGGAAUGCACG